rnacentral:rRNA from 1 species
GACGUAGGGCGCGAGCGUUGUCCGGAUUUAUUGGGCGUAAAGAGCUCGUAGGCGGCUUGUCGCGUCGACUGUGAAAACUUGGGGCUCAACCCCAAGCUUGCAGUCGAUACGGGCUGGCUUGAGUGCGGUAGGGGAGACUGGAAUUCCUGGUGUAGCGGUGAAAUGCGCAGAUAUCAGGAGGAACACCGGUGGCGAAGGCGGGUCUCUGGACAGUUCCUGACACUGAGACACGAAGGCCAGGGGAGCAAACGGG